GGAGUUGUGGCUCAGAGGUAGAGCACUUGCCUACCAUGCAUGAGGCACUGUAUUCGAUCCUCAGCACCA
rfam:Ictidomys tridecemlineatus contig099259, whole genome shotgun sequence.